rnacentral:rRNA from 1 species
GACGUAGGGCGCAAGCGUUGUCCGGAUUUAUUGGGCGUAAAGAGCUCGUAGGCGCCUGUCGCGUCGACCGUGAAAACCCGCAGCUCAACUGCGGGCUUGCGGUCGAUACGGGCAGGCUGGAGUUCGGUAGGGGAGACUGGAAUUCCUGGUGUAGCGGUGAAAUGCGCAGAUAUCAGGAGGAACACCGGUGGCGAAGGCGGGUCUCUGGGCCGAUACUGACGCUGAGGAGCGAAAGCGUGGGGAGCGAACAGG